rnacentral:rRNA from 1 species
GGCCAGACUCCUACGGGAGGCAGCAGUGGGGAAUAUUGCACAAUGGGGGGAACCCUGAUGCAGCGACGCCGCGUGAGGGAAGAAGGUUUUCGGAUUGUAAACCUCUGUCCUCUGUGACGAUAAUGACGGUAGCAGAGGAGGAAGCCACGGCUAACUACGUGCCAGCAGCCGCGGUAAUACGUAGGGGGCAAGCGUUAUCCGGAUUUACUGGGUGUAAAGGGAGCGUAGACGGUUAUGCAAGUCUGAAGUGAAAGCCCAAGGCUCAACCAUGGGACUGCUUUGGAAACUGUAAAACUGGAGUGCAGGAGAGGUAAGCGGAAUUCCUAGUGUAGCGGUGAAAUGCGUAGAUAUUAGGAGGAACACCAGUGGCGAAGGCGGCUUACUGGACUGUAACUGACGUUGAGGCUCGAAGGCGUGGGGAGCAAACAGGAUUAGAUACCCCCGUAU